GAGGAGGCUCUCAUGUCUUCCUAGAUGCAUCGAUCAGGGGCAAAGCCCCCGACUUUCUUCCAUCUCCAGACUCCAGGCCUAAUUAAGGCCUCGCCGAUGAGCAGGUAACUAAUCGCUUACAUCCAUCCCCUUUUAUAUCUCUCAAAUUAACCUCACCGUGUUGUUGAUUUUGCUUCACGCGUGUGUGUCUGUUUCCACUCAAGUUCCGCUACACGGCAAAAUCUCAGAUCUUACAUGAUUCGCCGACUAUUUUUGUCAUGCUUUCUGUAGUUAUAUUCAUAGAUAAAUAAAUUUUUGUAUUGCUUGCAUCCCCAAUGAUGCAUGCUUAUUGAUUUGUUCUUCUGGAUUUCCUACAUCAGUGCAAGAAGCAUAGAUGCAUGGUUAUGAUACUAGGAGGGUUUGGGCUCUGAAUUUCAUUUGACAUGCACUAUAUCCUAACAGGAAAAAUGAUUAUAUCAAAUAUGUCGUCAAGCAGUUCUUGAGGACCGGAGAUUUUAUCUAUUUCUUUAUGUUUUAAAGUUUACUUCCAUAUGUCCAAGCAUAUGCCGUCUCACCAUCAUGUCUUGGCUUUACCACAAGUUUUUCUUCUUCUUUAUUUCAGUUUCUUUCAAGAAUCAAGAUUACCAAGCACAAUGCAAGUCAGUAUACAAAAUAAUUAUGUUUCAACUCAUGUACGCCUAAAGUGUUGCCUGCAUGUUGUCAUGAAAAUAGUAGCUACACGGAUCAUCAGAUUAAGGAGUAGGAAAUAGUAAUGCAGAAGUGUCCUACUUCUACUACCCACGAAGGCGAGACGUUGCUGCGGCGUCAUGCCCCGUCGCCGUGACGGCCCUGCGCGCCGACAAGAUGGAGUUCGACUAAGUAAACUUGGUUAAUGAAGGGGCUUGACGACUGAGGUCUAAAUAUAAAUGACAUCAAGUACUUAUUUCUCCUUGUGCAUGGCAAUUAGCAUUUUGAGAACACUAUCCUGCCGAUCAAGUUCUUCUCUUAUGCCCAAUUGAUCAGUUCUCACUGGAGCCUGGCCACCAUAUACAUGCCUGAAGGUGCAGAAAGUGAGACUACCACUGUAUUCCUUAUGGAUUCACUGAAUUUGCAUGAUCCAAAAGCUACUUUUGAUCACACUCAAAGAUUCUUAAGAGAAAUGCUGGAUAUCCACAGUGCAAUCAUGAUGAAAGAAGUUGAGGUUCUACAUCAGGGAGACAAUGUGGACUGUGCUCUUUUUAGUUUGUAUAAUAUUCAGAAAAUCAUUACACAAGUCAGAGAUGAGCUUCUGCUGGAAGAAAUUAUUCAGGUUUUGUCUGCUAGACCAUUUUCUGGCCCAUAGAAAUAUGUUCUAUUCUUUACAAACCACAACCCAGUGCUUGCUUGAAGCACAACCUGCAAAAGAGCAGGACAACCACACUGAGAGAGUGCCCUUGGUGUCCUUUCCUUGUCGGUUUCAUCAAAGUGCUUUACAACACGAUAUCCUUGUUUGCAGCUCACAAACGUCCUCCGGUAUGUAUUUUCCUUGUUUCCCCUUAUGUUUCAGAUCGCCCUUUCUAACACCAAAUCCUUUGUUCUUCGCAUACCCUAAGUAGAACUCGUACGCUUUGUUCUCACUUUUAAAUGUCUGCUUGACCAUCGAAUCGUACUCCAUCAAUUCAUCUAUCAAGAUGCCUUCACCAGCCAUGCCGUUAUCAUCUGUAACUGAUAACGGCAAAAGAAACAGCAAAACAUGUUACAUAUUUACAUGAAAGAAGAUACGCUGGAACUAAAACAUAUUAAUUAUAAAUUGUAAACGAUUAUCAUCUGUAACUGAACUAAGAAUCUCUGACAUCCUUACUAAUUUUCUGAGAGGCCUACAAUCCUACUGGGCAUAGUAAUUUAACCCAUCAUUUUCAUGUUCUGAGAAAUCAUGGUUUUCAAACAACCGUAUUAAGUUCUUGUAAGAAGUAACACGUAUUCCACAAUAUCAAACUCAUAUCUGAGGUGAUGGCAAAGCAUUUUAGUCACAGUACAAACCCUUGGAUGCCAGCAUAAUUUAUUGUAUGUUCUCACACACACUACUAUUCAUAGGUAGGAAAAAUGAGAAGAUCUGAAACCUCUUUUUUACAUCAUUAUACGAUAUGUGUCAUUACAUGAUCUGUGUAUUACAGUACUAUUCUGUUGGCAUUUACAUCAUCACAUGAUCUGUGUCGGUACCAGUUAAGCGAACAGAUGUGCGAAAGCAAUACUUUUUGUAUCCAAAUCCAAAAUUUUCUAGUAGCAGUUAGCCUAAAGGAGAUUUCAAAUAAUUUUACCUUGUGCACCUGUGUUGUUAUGCCUAUUUGAUCAAGUCAAUUUUAUUUCCCAUUGCUGGAUGUAUGUAAGGUGGUCAAGCUUAAUUGAGUGAGAAGCUUAAUUCAACCGUUUCUACAAAAAUCAUGUACUGCAGGUAAUACUAUAUAGUAUAUGUUGAUCACUAGUUCACUACUACCUCAGGAACAAACAACAGACAACAGAGAAGCUCGAGAUAGCAGAAACUUAGAUUGGAAAAGUUUAGCAAGUCUGAUUUGAUUCCUCUGUCGUCAAACUGCGCUAAUGCAGGAGUGCAAGGCAUACUUCUUCAAAGCAAAAUGGCCCUCUUCUCUGCUCGCAACUAAAAAGUGCAAAAUGUGUUGCUGCUUUGUGCACAACAGCUUUUGGUCCCCCACCCCCCUCCCCUCUUUCUCUUUGGCAGAGCAUCAAUCAACGUAUGUAUGCUGCUGCUUUGUUUUUUUCUUUUUUUUUUCUGUUCCAAAGGUGAUUGAGAUGUAGCUCCUCUUACAAGCUUGAUAUUUUGCUUUUCCAACACUACAGAUUUCCAUGUUGUUUUGUGCUGUUAGAGAUAACUUCUGUACAGCAAGGUCUACUAAGUUUAGCAGAACUCCCUCGGUCCAAAAUACUCAACAUGUAUUUUGACUGUCCAAGUUCAAUCUUUGAAUACAUUCAGACCAGGUUUUGCCUUUUUGAACUUCUGAACG